AGCAGCCGCGGUAAUUCCAGCUCCAAUAGCGUAUAUUAAAGUUGUUGCAGUUAAAAAGCUCGUAGUUGAAUCUUGGAUUCUGCCGGUUGGUCCAUCUUUUGAUGAGUACUGAUUGUGUGGGGUCUAUCCGCCUGGUGAUACGUAAUGUACUUUAUUGUAUGUUACGGGUAGUCAGGACCUUUACCUUGAAAAAUUAGAGUGUUUAAAGCAGGCUUAUGCCGGAAUACAUUAGCAUGGAAUAAUAGAAUAGGACGAUGUUGUUUUAUUUUGUUGGUUUCUAGGACAACCGUAAUGAUUAAUAGGGAUAGUUGGGGGCAUUAGUAUUCAAUUGUCAGAGGUGAAAUUCUUGGAUUUAUUGAAGACUAACUACUGCGAAAGCAUUUGCCAAGGAUGUUUUCAUUAAUCAAGAACGAAAGUUAGGGGAUCGAAGACGAUCAGAUACCGUCGUAG
rnacentral:rRNA from 1 species